rnacentral:rRNA from 1 species
CAGCUUGUUGGUGAGGUAACGGCUCACCAAGGCGACAAUCCGUAGCUGGUCUGAGAGGACGAUCAGCCACACUGGGACUGAGACACGGCCCAGACUCCUACGGGAGGCAGCAGUGGGGAAUCUUGCGCAAUGAGCGAAAGCUUGACGCAGCGACGCCGCGUGAGGGAAGAAGGCCUUCGGGUUGUAAACCUCUUUCAGGAGGGACGAAGCCGCUCGGGUUAAUACCCCAGAGGGUGACGGUACCUCCAGAAGAAGCCCCGGCUAACUACGUGCCAGCAGCCGCGGUAAUACGUAGGGGGCAAGCGUUGUCCGGAAUUAUUGGGCGUAAAGAGCGUGUAGGCGGCCAGGUAGGUCUGCUGUGAAAACUCGAGGCUCAACCUCGAGCUGUCGGUGGAAACCAUCUGGCUAGAGUCCGGAAGAGGAGAAUGGAAUUCCUGGUGUAGCGGUGAAAUGCGCAGAUAUC